CUUUAGUCUAAGUUAUCUCAGUGGGUCUCAAACGGUUUGGUCAUCAUUUAUGUAAACAUAUGUCCAAGACACUUAUAUUGAUAUGAUUAAUAUAGUUAUACAAAAUGACAGAAUAAAUCAAACAGGAAUGAAAUCAUUCCAAUUAAUGCUAUAGGACAGCAGAACCAAAAUACAGGGUGAAAGGGGAGGGAUUAGUUAAAUAUGCAUGAAUAAAAAGAACAAUGUUAAAUAGAUCAAAUUAGAUAGGUUACCAAAUAUAAUUGCACACUUUUUUAAAUAGUAACUUCUGUCCAUAUGUUUCUAUUUGGGUAGUAGAACCACCAGCACAGAGGAGCUGGCAGGUACAGGGCCAGCAGUCCACAGGAGGACAUGUUUGAUGUCAGGGAGAUUUAAACUAUAGGGCUGUCACUAUGGGCAGCAACGCUGUACUUACUGACAACACAACCAGCAAAAUGCCCCCAAAAAACUGGUAGUGGCUGUAAGGAUAAUCAAUAUAUUGAAACGGAACCCUAAAGGACUAAAUUCACUGUUUCCGGACGGACCGGACCUUGUACUUCUGGUCCCCGGGUGUUAUUUUUUGUUUAGCCUCAAGUAGCAUGUAGCUAAUGGUAUAUCGAGGAUGUGAGUAAAAGUCAUUCACACAUGGAGUCACGUACUAAACACACCGACUUCAACUCUCACUCAACGCUGCAUUACUGAUAUUGGUUUGUGUUUAAUAACCAAUAAGUCUUAGAAGAAGUGUACAAUAUAUAUCAUAAAGAGAAGCGUCAUGACACUUCAUCAGAUGGCGACGGUGACGUCAUAAGAAGGCGAAGCAGACUGUGCACUGGACCCGCCUCCGUCAGUCAACCAAUUGAAGAAGACGGGGGUUUGUACAUGUGACGACAAAGGGGCCAAUAGGAUCCGGCCACCGCCGCCAACCAAUGGGAGAAGAGGAGACCGGAAGAGCCAGAGAGUGAAAAUGCCUGACGUGAACACAAGAGCGGGGCCUUUUCUCCGUGCUGCUAAGAGACAGCUAACUGCUUCAAUGUGGACUGUGGAUUAGUAGCGUGGGGGACCGCAGCUGUGUUUCCUUUGUAGACCUAUCAUUCUAUUGCAUUAAUAAAUACUGUUAAGCUUAAACAACAAAGCUUCCGGGUCCAUUUAAGACCGACUCUUGGUCUUCAAACAAAGAAUAUUCUUAACAUGGCCUGGCUGGGUGUAUAAUUCCCGGCCUGACUUAUUGUGCCAGUCCGGGUUAGGGUUAGUCUAGUAUGUCAAAAAAUGUGCAAGAAAACCUGGCAUUGUAUAGUAUGUCAACAAACUUACAAAUAAAACAGAACUAGUCUGUUGAUAAUGUCAGUUCAGUGUUACCCCUUUAGUCCAAUCAGUCAAUUGAAUUAAAUUGUAAAAAAGAUUGAUCAAUUAUUGAGCUAUAAUUAAAAUCAUCAUACAUGUAAUAUAAAGAAACGUUUAGAAUAAAUAUACAUAGAACUAAUUAAGAAUAAGACCAUUAACGAAGACUAUGAUAACUAUUGCAACGGAUAGUUAUCAUAGCCCCCCUGCAGGUCAGAGACGCUACUUAAUGGAGAGUCAGCUGUCUGAUCGGAUGACACAUGCGCAACAGCUCACAGCAACCUCAGCAGCUGACGAGAUGCAGCAGAAGAGAGACUUGAGGGAAUAAACAGCGAUAAGUGGAGUUUCAUGUGAUUUAAAAGGUCUGAACUCACACUCAAACAAACCAAAAGGAAAAUAAACAAAGAAGCAAAGAAACAAAGAAGCAAACAAUCCAACACACGUGGCCGCUGUGUGCUAGCAGCUAGCUGCUAUGCUAAUGCCAGUAUAGUUGCUGCGGUCAAGGCUAAUAAACAAACAACCCAGCGGUACAUUCAGGAGGGCUAGGACAUCUGACAUCUAUGAAGACGGAGGCUUCUUGAGUGUCUGAAAAACUUAAGGUGCUGUGUUCUGACUUUUUUCUGAUAUCUUCAACAUACUAUACUAUGUCGUUGUUUCUGACAUUUUCAAUAGACUGCACUGACGUUAUGGUGUCUUUUUGUUCUUUACUCCCCACCUGAGUUCAAGGACAUCUGCUGGAGGAGUUCAAGCACAUCUGCUGGAGGAGUUCAAGGAUGUUUGCUGGAGGAGUUCAAGGACAUCUGCUGGAGGAGUCCAAGGACAUUUGCUGGAGGAGUUCAAGGACAUUUGCUGGAGGAGUUCAAGGACAUCUGCUGGAGGAGUUCAUGGACAUUUGCUGGAGGAGUUCAUGGACAUUUGCUGGAGGAGUUCAUGGACAUCUGCUGGAAGAGUUCGAGGACAUCUGCUGGAGGAGUCCAAGGAUAUCUGCUGGAGGAGUCCAAGGACAUCUGCUGGAGGAGUUCAAGGACAUUUGCUGGAAGAGUUCAAGGACUUCUGCCGGAGGAGGGAUAGGACAUCUGUCGGAGGAGUCCAAGGACAUCUGACAUCAAUGAAGACGUCGUCUUCUUGAGUUUCUGGAAAACUUAAGCAGUGCAGCGAUUUACCCCACCAGCCACGGCAUCAAUGAAGACCAUGGCGUCCUAAGCUUCUGACACACUUGGGGACAUUUCUGAUUUUAUGUAAAUGUAUGUUAAUUGUAUGUAUUAGUAUUAGUAUUAGUAGUAUUAGUAUUAGUAUUAGUAGUAUUAGUAUUAUUAGUAUUAGUAUUAUUUUUAUUAGUAUUAUUAGUAUUAGUAUUAUUUUUAUUAGUAUUAUUAGUAUUAGUAUUAUUUU